ACCUCUCCUGACAAGAGCUGGCAGCAUGUGGCUCCUGCCCCAGGUCUUUGUGGUGGCCUCCGUCUGGACAUACACAAGUGGAGAUAUCCUAACAACACACCCCGUAGCAUCCAUUACCAAGAAAAGGGGAAAUACAGCAUUUCUUGAAUGCCAAAUAAAAACAGAUACGUUAAAGAGGAACGUAUACACACACUGGUACCGGCAGAAGCCCAACCAGCCCCUAAAACGAAUUCUGUAUAUUUCCUCAAAUGAAAAUAUUGUCUACGAGCAAGGGAUUAGUGAGGAAAAAUAUGAAGCAAGAAAAUGGCUGAGCAAUUCAUUGGUGAACCUCAGGAUACACGGAGUUACCGAGGAAGAUACAGAUGGAGAAACCAAAAUGAGAAUUUCUCAGGAUCAACUCAGCUCUACCCGAAGACUAGACAGAAUAGUGCAGAUAAGUUGCAAGCUGUCUGGGGUUCCUCUCAAGAAUGCCAUUGUGCACUGGUAUCAACAGAAAGAAGGGGAACCCCUGAAAUGAAUCCUUUAUGGCUCAACCAACAGUUACCAGCUAGAUGAGCCUAACUCCAGGUUGGAGACAGUUACGAAGGACGAGGGGAUCUUUUACCUGGUGAUCAAUAACGUUGUCAAGUCUGAUGAAGCCACCUACUACUGUGCCUGCUAGGAUCUCACAAUAUUUGGAGAAGGGACUAAGCUCAUAGUAACUCCCCCUGAUAGAAAUCUUGCUGCAGACAUGUCCCCUAAGCCCACUAUAUUUCUUCCUUCGAUUGCUGAAAUAAACCUCCAUAACACUGGGACACAUCUUUGUCUUCUUGAGAAAUUUUUCCCUGAUGCUAUUAAGGUAUAUUGGAAAGAAAAGAAUGGCAAUACGGUUCUGGAAUCCCAGCAGGGAGAUGUCAUCCAGACUAACGACACGUACAUGAAAUUCAGCUGGCUGACGGUGACUCAAAAGUCUGCAGACAAAGAACACAUAUGUAUCGUCAAACAUGAGAAUAACAAAAGAGGAACUGAUCAAGAGAUUCUUUUUCCUUCAAUGAACAAAGAGGUCACUACAGAUGUUUGCCUGAAAGAUACAAGUGGUACAAUGCAGCUGCAGCUCACAAACACCUCUGCCUAUUACACCUACCUCCUUCUACUCCUCAAGAGCGCCCUCUACUUCGCCAUCAUCACCUACUGUCUGUUUCGAGAAACAACAGUCUGUAGCACCUGGAAGAGGUCCUGACAGAUGAUGCCACCAAGGGCUCAACUUUCCUUCAUCAUCAUCUCUACAAGUGUCUGCUGAGGAUCUAGCAGCACUUCCUUUCUGGGUUUGGCUUCUUUCAGAGAAUGUGUACAGCUUUCUAUUAGGUCAGCAUUGUGUAAGGAUUUUUCAAACCACUGAGCAAACAGACCCUUGCACUGUCUAACAAGGAAUUCUGCCAUGACUCGGGGCAGGGCUGAGGGCUGGUCCAUGGGAGCCUUUCCCACCACUGUCCCUCAGUGUCAUCAGCUCCUCCAGCUGCCUGAGUCCUCUUGCCUCGCGAGCACACACAGCACAGCGCACAGCUCCCCGUCUCCUCCCUCAGGGUUCCACCCAGACCAUAGCCCUGACCUUCCCUGUACACAUCUGGAGCCCCCAGCUUUGCUGCUUCAAUUCUGUUCUUUGAUUUUCAUAAUAGGCACGAUCAAUUAAAAAGAUAUCCAAACUCCA